rnacentral:rRNA from 1 species
GACGAACGCUGGCGGCGUGCCUAAUACAUGCAAGUUGAGCGAUGAAGAUUGGUGCUUGCACCAAUUUGAAGAGCAGCGAACGGGUGAGUAACGCGUGGGGAAUCUGCCUUUGAGCGGGGGACAACAUUUGGAAACGAAUGCUAAUACCGCAUAACAACUUUAAACAUAAGUUUUAAGUUUGAAAGAUGCAAUUGCAUCACUCAAAGAUGAUCCCGCGUUGUAUUAGCUAGUUGGUGAGGUAAAGGCUCACCAAGGCGAUGAUACAUAGCCGACCUGAGAGGGUGAUCGGCCACAUUGGGACUGAGACACGGCCCAAACUCCUACGGGAGGCAGCAGUAGGGAAUCUUCGGCAAUGGACGAAAGUCUGACCGAGCAACGCCGCGGGAGGGAAGAAGGUUGUCGGAUCGGAAAACUCGGUUGGUAGAGAAGAACGUUGGUGAGAGUGGAAAGCUCAUCAAGUGACGGUAACUACCCAGAAAGGGACGGCUAACUACGUG